rnacentral:lncRNA from 1 species
AAAGAAUGCCACAAGAAGAUGAAGGCAGAGAUGGGGUGAUACUUCUGCAAGCCAAGGAACACCAAAGACUGCUGGAAAGCCAACAGAGCCAGGAGAGAGGCAUAGAGCAAUUCUUCCUCAGAGCCCUCAGAAGGAGCCAACCCUACUGACAUCUUGACCUCUGACUUCCAGCAACCCCAGAACGUGGACCGUACAGUGGUGUUUUUCAGAUGAAAAUCAUUACUUAUUAGGUGAAUGGUGAAAUAAAUUGGUGAUUCUUGACCAGCAUUGUCUUUAAUACGUAAGAAGAAUGAAGGAGGGAAGACAAAAUAUUAUAGAAUACCCCACAUUGUAAGGGUCUCUUCUUUGGCCUCUCAAACCUGGUGUCAUCCCUAUUAAAGCCAGCAGGGGGUCUGGCAUGAAAAAUUUCACCCUUGUUUCCCAGGCUGGAGUCCAAUGGCACGAUCUCGGCUCACUGUAACCUCCACCUCACAACCAGGCACUUUCUUUAGGGGAGUAUGUACAGCACCAACAGAUUUCUGCCAUCUGCCUUCAGCUACUGAGUUCUUAAGGAGAUGGAAUGUCAAGUCUUUAACCCUUGGAUGUCCUUGAUUGAGGGAGAAGCAGUGUGAAAAGGAGAAGCACCAGCCUCCAAGUUUGUUCAUUUUUUCCUGAUCCUGAUCCUCCAGAGGCCAGAAGCAACAAGAGGGUAAGGGGAGGAGGAACAAGAGGAAUGGAAGAACAAGGUGAAGAGGUAUUGAAAAUAAAGACUGCUGUUCUCCCUUACAUAGAGAUAUGUCUGUUUAUGGCUGAAAGAGGUCAGAAAACAGGGACUAAGCUUGUGAUGCCAUCAGCAAGUGAGAGAGAAAACUCCCAGUCACUGGAUGGGAAAGCAGUGGCUGGAGAAAAGUGAAGAUAUUCCCUGCUUCUUCCCUAAGGAGAGAAGCCCAUUCAGUAAACCUGCCAUACUCAGGAAGGCACUGUAGCAGGAUUGCCAGACAAUGGCCUUUUCGGGUUUCUAGUCAUGGAUUUCAAAUGAAGUUAGUCGGCUAUAUUGUGAUUCCAACCACACUCCCGUCACAACUCCCAGCCCAAAUGUUCUGCUUCUCCAGGAUAGGCAUGGAAAAAGUGAACAGUUGGGUUUGACCACGGUUUGGUUUUGCUCUACAAACACAGUGCACAGGAAGGGAGUGAGAAGUAAGCUGAGGUAUUUUCAAGGAAGUGGCUAUAAUGGAUUGUAAGUGGAAUCUAAGUUGGAUGAAGAGGAAAAUAGAGACAUCAGGAGGAUGGAUGGUGAAAAAGGCAUGGAGUUAUGGAGCAGAGGUAAUGAGGCAAGAACUGUUACAGUUAAGAAAAUAUGGAAGCAUCUGGAAGAGUAAGUUGUGGUGGCUCAAGAAUGGGUUGCCUGAAAUGAAAAUGUCAGGGACAAUGCAGCUUCUAAUGAUGGCGAGAUUUACGGUGAGGUUACUGGAUGAAAAGGCUGUGGGAGGUAAAACAUAAGCAGGUUAAAAGGAACUGGUUUGAAUCUGUUUUUCACUUUGAGUUGGACUAAUUUUUUGGCUUAAAACCAGUUUGAACCAUGCUGAAUCAACAGAUCAACUGAUUUCUGUUGUAUAGCUCAUUGGUUUUAUAUACCUUGAACUAAAUCCGAACCUGUUUUAACUAACUUAAAAUUAUUUACUUUAAAUUACACAGUAUAUUAGUAUUAAAUGUUUUUUUGAAAAAACUGAAGCGUUCAAAAAAUAAAUUAGUAGCUUAGAAGGUUACAUUAGAUUUGUAGUGAUUUAUGUCUACAGUGAAUUUAUUGUUAAAACUAUGCUAAAGUUAAGGAAUAUUCCUACCAGUUAGAGAUUCCUUUUGAAAAGGACACAUAAAGAGGUUUUACUUAUGAUUCCAUAAGUCAAUCAAUCCAUUGUAACUUUAAUAAAACUCAC